rnacentral:rRNA from 1 species
UACAGAGGGGGCGAGCGUUGUUCGGAAUUACUGGGCGUAAAGGGCGCGUAGGCGGCCUGCUAAGUCGAACGUGAAAUCCCCGGGCUCAACCCGGGAACUGCGUCCGAUACUGGUGGGCUGGAAUCCGGGAGAGGGAUGUGGAAUUCCAGGUGUAGCGGUGAAAUGCGUAGAUAUCUGGAGGAACACCGGUGGCGAAGGCGGCAUCCUGGACCGGAAUUGACGCUGAGGCGCGAAAGCUAGGGGAGCAAACAGG